rnacentral:rRNA from 1 species
UACGAGGGGAGCUAGCGUUGUUCGGAAUUACUGGGCGUAAAGCGCGCGUAGGCGGCUUUUUAAGUCAGAGGUGAAAGCCCGGGGCUCAACCCCGGAAUUGCCUUGAAACUGGAAAGCUAGAAUCUUGGAGAGGUCAGUGGAAUUCCGAGUGUAGAGGUGAAAUUCGUAGAUAUUCGGAAGAACACCAGUGGCGAAGGCGACUGACUGGACAAGUAUUGACGCUGAGGUGCGAAAGCGUGGGGAGCAAACAGG